rnacentral:misc_RNA from 1 species
GUGAUUGCGAAUCGUUGUCUUCAGUGCUGGCCAGCUCGCUGGCAAGUGCACGUUGGCGGCCUUUCAUCCAACCCCCUGUGCACCUUUGGCCUCUGCGAGCUUCGGCUAGCAGAGGAUUUUUAUACCCACUCGAAUGUAAUGAAAUGAUUGUCGUGCGCAAGCACUAAUGUA